rnacentral:rRNA from 1 species
UGGGGAAUAUUGCGCAAUGGGCGAAAGCCUGACGCAGCCACGCCGCGUGAGUGAUGAAGGCCCUAGGGUUGUAAGGCUCUGUCGGGAGGGAAGAAGGCUAGUUUACUAGCUUGACGGUACCUCGCAAGAAAGCACCGGCUAACUCCGUGCCAGCAGCCGCGGUAAUACGGAGGGUGCAAGCGUUGCUCGGAAUUACUGGGCGUAAAGCGAGCGCAGGCGGCUUCAUAAGUCGGGUGUGAAAGCCCGGGGCUCAACCCCGGAACUGCAUCCGAUACUGUGGAGCUUGAGUACAAUAGAGGGGAGCGGAAUUCCUGGUGUAGAGGUGAAAUUCGUAGAUAUCAGGAGGAACACUCGUGGCGAAGGCGGCUCCCUGGAUUGAUACUGACGCUCAUGCUCGAAAGCGUGGGGAGCAAACAGG